UAAAACAAAUUGGUCUAAAAGAAAAAAAAGAGAUAAAAUAUGAGAAUGAGAGAGAGAGAGAGAAUAUGAAAGGAGAGGUUGAGUGAAGAGAAAGAUUAUGGAAGAGAAGAGAGCAAGAGAAAGAGAGUAGAAGAAUUAUGAAGGAAGAGGGGUUAGCCAGACAGGGAGAGCGAGAGAGAAAAUGAGAGAGAGGAGGUCUAGAAAUGAAAAGAAAAGGAUAAGAAAAUACAGAAAAGAAACAGAGAGGUAGGGGGAGGGGGAGAGAGAGAGAGAGAGAGAGAGAGAGAGCAGGGAAACAAUACUAUAGCAAGAGAAAAGAGAGGCAGUUUAGACAGAGCUAGUAAAAAAUGUGUCAGAGAGAGAGAGAGAGAGAGAGAGUAAGAGCUAGAUAAAGAGUGAAAAAGGCUAAGUGUGUGAUAGGCAAGAGUAAAAGAUAUGAGAGAAAAUGCAUCAAAGAGAGAGAGAGAGAGAGAAAGAGAGAGAUAAAAAAAACAAGAGGAAAGAGAAUGUAAAUGAUAUAAAUAGUUUACAAAUAAUAAUAAAAGAAAUUAAGAAAGCAAAAAAUAAAAGAAGCAAACUGCAGAUGAAAGCAGUUUCUAAUGGCCCGAAAUUCUAAGAAUGGACAGUUAGCAACCAAUAUUGAUAACAACUUGCUAGAAACUGGUUUGGUUUGACCAUAACAACAACUAUACAUAACUUUACAGUAAUCAGCACUUCCUGACAAUGUGUAAAUAUAGCAGAUAUCAAGGAAAAAAAAAAAAUUUUUUUCCCUUAAGAAAACCAGGCAAAUGAAACUUCAUGACCAAACUAAAGACUGAGAAUGAUAAAGUCAUUUGACUGCAGCCAUGCUGGAGCACCGCCUUUAGUUGAGCAAAUCGACCCAGGACUUAUUCUUUGGAAGCCUAGUACUUAUUCUAUCGGUCUCUUUUGCCGAACCGCUAAGUUACGGGGACGUAAACACACCAGCAUCGGUUGUCAAGCAAUGUUGGGGGGACAAACACAGACACACAAACAUAUACACACACAUACAUAUCUAUAUAUAUAUAUAUAUACAUAUAUACGACGGGCUUCUUUCCGUUUCUGUCUACCGAAUCCACUCACAAAGCUUUGGUUGGCCCGAGGCUAUAGUAGAAGACACUUGCCAAAGGUGCCACGCAGUGGGACUGAAUCCAGAACCAUGUGGUUGGUAAGCAAGCUACUUACCACACAGCCACUCCCGCGCCUGUAGCUUUGAGAUUUUGAUGUUGUGAUUGUUUAUUUUUAGAAGGACAGUGUAGGGUAGGUGUGAGAGACCUUAUGGCUGGUUUGAACAUAAAACAGGUAAAAUAUUUGGGCCAUAUAUGGCCAGUUUAAAUGCUAAAGGGUUAAAAAGAUUUUGAUGAAGAUUUUAUAAUUUGAAUAUUUAAAUAUAAUUUAGUACAGGCAGUCUCAGGCAGGUUGAUAUCAAAAGGGUUAAGAAUGAAUUUCUAAGUAGACUGUGAGUAAUCAAACCACACUAGUUCCUGAACAUAGCAUUUAACCCUUUCAUUACCAUAUUUCUAUUAAAAUACAUUGCCUUUGUUUCAAUUAAUUUUGGAAAUAACAAAGAAUUCAGCAAAAUAACUGGCAUUCUUAAGCUGAGACAUAAAUUAACAUGAAAUUAUGACAGACGUUUAAACCAGGAAGUUCGAUUCAUAUAACCAAGAGUGGUCUCAGGCGGGUUGGAAUUAAGAGGGUUAAUGAUACCGCUAAUCUCUCGGGAGUGGAGGAAGGGGUGCUAUGUUGCAAUGCACCCCACCUGUCUAUGUUGCAAUUGUUUUCUGCAGUUAUGCAUCAAGGAUGUGAAUGGAAUAUAUGUUGCUCAUACUAAUCCCAAAGGUAUUUACCCUUUACUAAAGAGAAAUAAAAUGGAGACAAAGUCAUAUCUGGAUCCCUCAUCAAA